rnacentral:sRNA from 1 species
UAGGGUCAAAAAUUACAAUUCGUUCCUGCUUGCAGGAUAAGAAUUGUGAUUAAUUGACCCGCCCACACAUGAGCAAGUAGUGAUUUUCGGUAGAAAAUCAACGGAUUGCGAAUGGGUGGGGAAUUGCGAGAGCUGCUUGGCAGCGGAGCAAUUCGUAU